GCUAGUUGCUGUAUGGGGGAAGCCAUUUUAUUUUCUCUGCGUGAGGUGAGAGCAGCAGUGUAACUUUGAGUAAAAGUUAAAAUCGUAAGAGAAGAUUAAACCAGAAAAGUUUAUAUGGCAUAUUUUCUUUGGAUUUGGUCAGGUUUUUUGUCCUAUGCUGAAGCUGCGUUCAUUUCAGCGUGACGAUUUAAGAUGGCGAGCCUCCAGCGAGAUGAACGUUGAUUGUGAGAUUCGAGUUGAAAACCAACACCUGUGGAAUUGGUGCUUGAAGGACUUGUGCUUUCGUUGACCACAAUGACAGAAUCACUGAUGUCUGGCUCUUCCAACGCCUCCUGAAAUAAGAUUAGAGGGUCCAACUGUAAGUUUCACUCAGUAGACUAAAAGUAGACCAUUACAUUCACUGAUAAUAGCGGUUCUGUUAAUGCAGUGAACACUUACAUUUCUUGAAGAAUUGUGAGUCCUCCUCACAGGUACACCGAGGAGCACAGAGGGCUACGGUACGUUUCAUGUUGACAUCAUGCAUACCCUUCAAAGUCAAGCAAAAAUUAACAUGUUAAACAAGCAAGCCAACUUUAUUGUAUAUACAGUGAAGACCAUGAUGAAGGUAGUUAGUGUUGACAAAUUUUAAAGAUGUGGUUACAUGCGAUUUCACUUUUUUAACUUUAGUUAGUGUGUAAUGUUGCUGCUGGAGCAUAAACAGUAUCUGCAAAGUUACAGCACUGAAAGUUCAAUACAAACGGAGAUAUUGUCUGUUAAAGUUAUGGCAGUUUAAUGCCUACAAAAAUGGCCGGUUUGGACUACAACGAGCUUCUUCCCGGGUUGGUGAUAUCAUAAACCCUUGCUAUUAACAUAAACACGCCCCCGGGAACACGCAACAAAGUGGGCGAGGUCAUGUGGCACAGUAUAAUGGAAGCGGAAGAGUUGUUUACAUCGAACGCGAGCUGCGCGAUGCGACGUGUCAAAAGAUAUAGAACCCAUUAUAAUCUGUGAUAUAUUCUACAUAUUUCUGUAUUUCUACACUGGAUGCAGCGCUGAAGACAGCUUCCAGAAUCUACACGAGUUCAAUGUUGGAUUUGC